CGCGCUAUACAUAUCCGCGCGCUAUCUGCUCUGAUCGUUUGAUGAUGCCGGUGUACCCGAGCGAUGCUGACUUGAGUGUGAUUGUGUGAUUAACGCGGCGGUGCGACGAUUCAGCGCGAUCCAGACCAUCCACCAAGCCCAAGGAACUUGACAGGAGAAUUGAUUUUACGUUACGCACAUCUGACAGAAUCAGAGUUUGAUAACAUAGUCGCAGAAUGGUUACGAUUCGCCAAACAGAGGAAAGAAAGAGAUGGAAAAAACAAAGAAAAAGAGAUUCAGCAAAAUAAAGGCGAUGAUGAACAGCGUUUAGUAUAACAUACUAAUCCCGGUUAAGUUAUCGUAAUACGGGAAUACAAGAAAAGUUUAAAUACACACGCACUGGCGAAAAUGAUAUGUAAAAAAAACGGAACACAUCAAGUAAUUACAUGCGCAUCUGCAAAAAAAUAUUUAAAACAAAAAAUCGUACGUUUUCGUAGUAUAGAGCGAAAAAAAAAACGCGCGCAAUGGCAACAACAAACGAUAUGUAAAGAAAGACGAAAUAAAUCGAUUAAUCCCA